UAGGGAAUCUUCCGCAAUGGGCGAAAGCCUGACGGAGCAACGCCGCGUGAGUGAUGAAGGUCUUCGGAUCGUAAAACUCUGUUAUUAGGGAAGAACAAAUGUGUAAGUAACUAUGCACGUCUUGACGGUACCUAAUCAGAAAGCCCCGGCUUACUACGUGCCAGCAGCCGCGGUAAUACGUAGGUGGUAAGCGUUAUCCGGAAUUAUUGGGCGUAAAGCGCGCGUAGGCGGUUUUUUAAGUCUGAUGUGAAAGCCCACGGCUCAACCGUGGAGGGUCAUUGGAAACUGGAAAACUUGAGUGCAGAAGAGGAAAGUGGAAUUCCAUGUGUAGCGGUGAAAUGCGCAGAGAUAUGGAGGAACACCAGUGGCGAAGGCGACUUUCUGGUCUGUAACUGACGCUGAUGUGCGAAAGCGUGGGGAUCAAACAGG
rnacentral:rRNA from 1 species